GAAAAAGCUGCAAGAGAGGAAACACAUUGUUGGAAUGACUGGUGAUGGUGUCAACGAUGCUCCUGCUUUGAAGAAAGCUGACAUUGGUAUUGCGGUGGCCGAUGCAACAGAUGCUGCUCGUGGUGCUUCAGAUAUUGUUCUCACCGAACCUGGAUUGAGUGUUAUCAUCAGUGCAGUGCUCACUAGUAGAGCUAUCUUCCAGAGAAUGAAGAACUAUACCGUGAGCAUUCUCUUAGUUAUAUUCUUAUAUUAUACCCACUACUUCUGUUCCUUGGUAGAAACUAAUUACUCUUUUUUCCUGCUUGUGACAGAUUUAUGCAGUCUCAAUCACAAUCCGUAUUGUCGUAAGUAGACACCCCAUUUAUCUAUCUCUUGUGUACCAUGUUUUUUCUUUUGUGUACUGAUCAUAUUGCGUUACAAUUUGCAGUUUGGUUUCAUGCUUAUUGCUCUGAUAUGGGAAUUUGACUUCUCAGCUUUCAUGGUUCUGAUUAUUGCCAUCCUUAAUGACGGUGAGCAAAUGGCUUUAGUUUACUAUAUAGCCUCCUAAUACUUUAUAUGCAGGAUCUUAUGUAUAUUUUUCUAUCUUGUAGGUACUAUCAUGACAAUCUCAAAGGACAGAGUUAAGCCAUCUCCCACACCUGAUAGCUGGAAGCUCAGAGAAAUUUUCGCCACUGGAAUUGUGUUGGGAGGUUACCAAGCUGUUAUGAGUGUGAUUUUCUUCUGGGCCAUUCACAAGACUGACUUUUUCUCGGUAAUCAUCAUCACCAUCUCUCUUUUGUUUCUUUAUUGGUAAAGGCGCUUCAGGUACUAAUAUAGAUAAAUAUUGCCUGAGAAACUAAACUUCACUCUUUGAUUUGCAGGACAAAUUUGGUGUGAGGUCAAUCAGGGACAACAACGAUGAGCUAAUGGGUGCUGUGUACCUACAAGUUAGUAUCAUCAGCCAAGCGCUUAUCUUCGUCACGAGAUCAAGGAGUUGGUCGUUCGUUGAACGUCCUGGGGCGCUUCUGAUGAUUGCCUUCGUCAUUGCACAGCUUGUAAGAACAAUCAAACACUCAUCUUUUCAGGAAUUCUAUCUGGUACACUUUGAAGAAAAGAAAUCCAUUGAAUGAAUUCCAUCUGACUCUUCUUCCCAAACGCAGGUUGCGACUUUGAUAGCAGUGUAUGCGGACUGGACAUUUGCAAAGGUGAAGGGUAUCUGGAAUGGGAACCAACAUGUAUCCGUCUGCCGCUCUUCUCGGUACUGACAAGGACUCGAACAUUGCGUCCAUUCCUGUUGAGGAGUUGAUCGAGAAGGCUGAUGGGUUUGCUGGCGUCUUUCCAGGUUAUAACUUGCUUUCGAUUUUAAACCUUAGUUAAAGAAGUUUUGUUAUAUUGAUCCAAGCUUCUUAUGUUUCUUAUUGCAGAACACAAAUACGAGAUUGUGAAAAAGCUGCAAGAGAGGAAACACAUUGUUGGAAUGACUGGUGAUGGUGUCAACGAUGCUCCUGCUUUGAAGAAAGCUGACAUUGGUAUUGCGGUGGCCGAUGCAACAGAUGCUGCUCGUGGUGCUUCAGAUAUUGUUCUCACCGAACCUGGAUUGAGUGUUAUCAUCAGUGCAGUGCUCACUAGUAGAGCUAUCUUCCAGAGAAUGAAGAACUAUACCGUGAGCAUUCUCUUAGUUAUAUUCUUAUAUUA
rnacentral:lncRNA from 1 species